rnacentral:rRNA from 1 species
UGGGGAAUAUUGCGCAAUGGGCGAAAGCCUGACGCAGCAACACCGCGUGAGGGAUGACGGCCUUCGGGUUGUAAACCUCUUUCAGCUCCGACGAAGCGAAAGUGACGGUAGGAGCAGAAGAAGCACCGGCUAACUACGUGCCAGCAGCCGCGGUAAUACGUAGGGUGCAAGCGUUGUCCGGAAUUAUUGGGCGUAAAGAGCUCGUAGGCGGUCCGUUGCGUCUGCCGUGAAAACCCGGAGCUCAACUCCGGGCCUGCGGUGGAUACGGGCGGACUAGAGUCCGGUAGGGGAGACUGGAAUUCCUGGUGUAGCGGUGGAAUGCGCAGAUAUCAGGAGGAACACCGGUGGCGAAGGCGGGUCUCUGGGCCGGAACUGACGCUGAGGAGCGAAAGCGUGGGGAGCGAACAGGAUUAGAUACCCUGGUAGUCCACGCCGUAAACGGUGGGCGCUAGGUGUGGGAUCGUUUCCACGAUCUCCGUGCCGUAGGCUAACGCAUUAAGCGCCCCGCCUGGGGAGUACGGCCGCAAGGCUAAAACU